CGUUGCAGAUUUUGGCAGUUUAUAAUACACCAUUUGUAAAAAAGAAAAAAAAUAUUUUCAACGCAUCUAUCCUUUCGGCUUUGAAAUAAAGAAUUACAGAUACAAUUAAGUAUGCCUCAUAUCUUUGAAAUUGACAAUGACGGUCGUUUGACAGCGAACUAUUUCGACAAAUGUGACAAAGAAAGAUAAUUCUUGCUUUCCUCAAUCAUGGUCUUUUGGCUUUCAAAGUUUUCUGUCUCCUGUGUCCAUAUUUCACCCUUCAUAUAUCUUAUUUCCUUAUUUUGACCUUUUUCUUUUAUUUUUAAGUAUGUUGUGUUGCUGCGCACGAACAUUCACAAAAAAAUCUAAAUAAUGAAAAGAAAAAUGAAAUGUCAAAAAUAAUCACGAAGAGACAGAUUAUUCGGUCUACCUCUUAUGAUAAAAUGGAUAAGUGAAUGGUAUUUGGUAUGCAUUUUAUAAGGCUUAUGAUUCCCAUUUCCGUGAAUGAUCAUCCAUUUUCAGUCAUGGUAUAUUGACUUUAAAUGUUUUGCAUAAUUAACAUGUUUAAAUAUUGUGAUUUGAAUUCCAAUAUGCAUGACACUACCAAAAUUACAAAAAGG
rnacentral:lncRNA from 1 species